rnacentral:rRNA from 1 species
AUGCAAGCGUUAUUCGGAAUUAUUGGGCGUAAAGCGUCUGUAGGUGGUAAGGAAAGUGUAAUGUUAAAGAUCAGGGCUCAACCCUGGGAAAGCAUUGCAAACUAUCUUACUUGAGUUCGGUAGGGGCAGAGAGAAUUCCCAGUGUAGCGGUGAAAUGCGUAGAUAUUGGGAGGAAGACCGGUGGCGAAGGCGUUCUGCUGGGCCGUAACUGACACUCAGAGACGAAAGCUAAGGUAGCAAAUAGGAUUAGAUACCCUAGUAGUCUUAGCUGUAAACGAUGCACACUAUGUUUUGCAAUUUGCAGAGCAAUAGCUAACGCGUUAAGUGUGCCGCCUGGGGAGUACAUUCGCAAGGAUGAAACUCAAAGGAAUUGACGGGGACCCGCACAAGCGGUGGAGCAUGUGGUUUAAUUCGAUGCAACGCGAAGAACCUUACCAAGAAUUGACAUGCUGCGAACGUUUACGAAAGUAAAAAGUCUAUUAACUUAGUUAAUAGCGCAGACACAGGUGGUGCAUGGUUGUCGUCAGCUCGUGCCGUGAGGUGUUAGGUUAAGUCCUGCAACGAGCGCAACCCUUGUCUUUAGUUAUAUUCUAGAGAGACUGCCGGUGAUAAACCGGAGGAAGGUGAGGAUGACGUCAAAUCAGCAUGCCCCUUACAUCUUGGGCGACUCACGUGCUACAAUGGUCGGGACAAAGAGAUGCUACCCUGCG